rnacentral:rRNA from 1 species
UAGGGAAUCUUCGGCAAUGGACGGAAGUCUGACCGAGCAACGCCGCGUGAGUGAAGAAGGUUUUCGGAUCGUAAAGCUCUGUUGUAAGAGAAGAACGAGUGUGAGAGUGGAAAGUUCACACUGUGACGGUAUCUUACCAGAAAGGGACGGCUAACUACGUGCCAGCAGCCGCGGUAAUACGUAGGUCCCGAGCGUUGUCCGGAUUUAUUGGGCGUAAAGCGAGCGCAGGCGGUUAGAUAAGUCUGAAGUUAAAGGCUGUGGCUUAACCAUAGUACGCUUUGGAAACUGUUUAACUUGAGUGCAAGAGGGGAGAGUGGAAUUCCAUGUGUAGCGGUGAAAUGCGUAGAUAUAUGGAGGAACACCGGUGGCGAAAGCGGCUCUCUGGCUUGUAACUGACGCUGAGGCUCGAAAGCGUGGGAAGCAAACAGGAUUAGAUACCCUGGUAGUCCACGCCGUAAACGAUGAGUGCUAGGUGUUAGACCCUUUCCCGGGGUUUAGUGCCGUAGCUAACGCAUUAAACACUUCCNCCUGGGGAGGANCNANCGCAGGNUG